UACGGGGGGGGGCAAGCGUUGUUCGGAAUUACUGGGCGUAAAGGGCUCGUAGGUGGCCAACUAAGUCAGACGUGAAAUCCCUCGGCUUAACCGGGGAACUGCGUCUGAUACUGGAUGGCUUGAGUUCGGGGAGAGGGAUGCGGAAUUCCAGGUGUAGCGGUGAAAUGCGUAGAUAUCUGGAGGAACACCGGUGGCGAAGGCGGCAUCCUGGACCGACACUGACACUGAGGAGCGAAAGCCAGGGGAGGCAAACGGG
rnacentral:rRNA from 1 species